rnacentral:rRNA from 1 species
GGAAUAUUGGACAAUGGGCGCAAGCCUGAUCCAGCCAUGCCGCGUGAGUGAUGAAGGCCUUAGGGUUGUAAAGCUCUUUCAGUGGGGAAGAUAAUGACGGUACCCACAGAAGAAGCCCCGGCUAACUUCGUGCCAGCAGCCGCGGUAAUACGAAGGGGGCUAGCGUUGUUCGGAUUUACUGGGCGUAAAGCGCACGUAGGCGGAUUGGUCAGUUAGGGGUGAAAUCCUGGAGCUCAACUCCAGAACUGCCUUUAAUACUGCCAGUCUAGAGUCCGGAAGAGGUAAGUGGAACUCCUAGUGUAGAGGUGGAAUUCGUAGAUAUUAGGAAGAACACCAGUGGCGAAGGCGGCUUACUGGUCCGGUACUGACGCUGAGGUGCGAAAGCGUGGGGAGCAAACAGGAUUAGAUACCCGGG